GCGCAGCAGGCGAGAAACCUCCGCAAUGCGGGAAACCGCGACGGGGGACCCGAGUGCCGUGGCAACGCCACGGCUUUUCCGGAGUGUAAAAGCUCCGGGAAUAAGGGCUGGGCAAGGCCGGUGGCAGCCGCCGCGGUAAUACCGGCGGCCCGAGUGGUGGCCGCUAUUAUUGGGCCUAAAGCGUCCGUAGCCGGGCCCGUAAGUCCCUGGCGAAAUCCCACGGCUCAACCGUGGGGCUUGCUGGGGAUACUGCGGGUCUUGGGACCGGGAGAGGCGGGGGUACCCCUGGGGUAGGGGUGAAAUCCUAUAAUCCCAGGGGGACCGCCAGUGGCGAAGGCGCCCCGCUGGAACGGGUCCGACGGUGAGGGCGAAGGCUAGGGGAGCAAAACCGGAUUAGAUACCCGUGUAGU
rnacentral:rRNA from 1 species